UGUAAAUUCAUUCAAAUUAAUGUAAACAAAAAGUCAAAAACAAUGCCGCGACCUUAAUAAACAAACAAGAAAGUGUACUUUUACACUCUCAAAAGCAAGGCAAUCAGCAUGGCAAUAGCUAUGACGCAAAUAUUUAACGAAUUCAAAUCACAUUUUAAAAUUAAUUUCUUUAAAUAACCUGAUUAAGCACCAUAAGUAGAUUAGCAGAUGCUGCCAAGGAAUUAAGGGCUGUAUUGACAGAGAGCUGAAGUAGAUAACGCCUUUUAUUACAAUAAGGACUGGACGCCACACAAUUUCUAUAGGGCCAUUUUGGUAGCCGUAUAAACGAUACGCUAAUAUUAAAAAUAGAAUUUCUUGAAUUGUUUAAUGGCGUUAUAUAAUGGCAGGUAUAAAAGAAUGCCAUAAAACAUGUUGCUUUAGCCCCGAUUUCAAUAAAGAGA